rnacentral:rRNA from 1 species
UACAGAGGUCCCAAGCGUUGUUCGGAUUCAUUGGGCGUAAAGGGUGCGUAGGCGGCGCGGUAAGUCGAGUGUGAAAUCUCGGAGCUUAACUCCGAAACUGCAUUCGAUACUGCCGUGCUUGAGGACUGGAGAGGAGACUGGAAUUUACGGUGUAGCGGUGAAAUGCGUAGAUAUCGUAAGGAAGACCAGUGGCGAAGGCGGGUCUCUGGACAGUUCCUGACGCUGAGGCACGAAGGCUAGGGGAGCAAACGGG